rnacentral:rRNA from 1 species
GACGAACGCUGGCGGCGUGCCUAAUACAUGCAAGUAGAACGCUGAAGCUUGGUGCUUGCACCGAGCGGAUGAGUUGCGAACGGGUGAGUAACGCGUAGGUAACCUGCCUGGUAGCGGGGGAUAACUAUUGGAAACGAUAGCUAAUACCGCAUAAGAGUAGAUGUUGCAUGACAUUUGCUUAAAAGGUGCAAUUGCAUCACUACCAGAUGGACCUGCGUUGUAUUAGCUAGUUGGUGAGGUAACGGCUCACCAAGGCAACGAUACAUAGCCGACCUGAGAGGGUGAUCGGCCACACUGGGACUGAGACACGGCCCAGACUCCUACGGGAGGCAGCAGUAGGGAAUCUUCGGCAAUGGACGGAAGUCUGACCGAGCAACGCCGCGUGAGUGAGGAAGGUUUUCGGAUCGUAAAGCUCUGUUGUAAGAGAAGAACGAGUGUGAGAGUGGAAAGUUCACACUGUGACGGUAUCUUACCAGAAAGGGACGGCUAACUACGUG